rnacentral:rRNA from 1 species
AUUGAACGCUGGCGGCAGGCCUAACACAUGCAAGUCGAGCGGAUGAAGGGAGCUUGCUCCUGGAUUCAGCGGCGGACGGGUGAGUAAUGCCUAGGAAUCUGCCUGGUAGUGGGGGAUAACGUCCGGAAACGGGCGCUAAUACCGCAUACGUCCUGAGGGAGAAAGUGGGGGAUCUUCGGACCUCACGCUAUCAGAUGAGCCUAGGUCAGAUUAGCUAGUUGGUGGGGUAAAGGCCUACCAAGGCGACGAUCCGUAACUGGUCUGAAAGGAUGAUCAGUCACACUGGAACUGAGACACGGUCCAGACUCCUACGGGAGGCAGCAGUGGGGAAUAUUGGACAAUGGGCGAAAGCCUGAUCCAGCCAUGCCGCGUGUGUGAAGAAGGUCUUCGGAUUGUAAAGCACUUUAAGUUGGGGGGAAGGGCAGUAAGUUAAUACCUUGCUGUUUUGACGUUACCAACAGAAUAAGCACCGGCUAACUUCGUG